rnacentral:tRNA from 1 species
ACUUUCAAAGGAUAGUAGCAAUCCAAUGGUCUUAGGAGCCAUCCACCUUGGUGCAAAUCCAAGUGAAAGUA